CCUACGGGUGGCAGCAGUGAGGAAUAUUGGUCAAUGGUCGGGAGACUGAACCAGCCAAGCCGCGUGAGGGAUGAAGGUACAGAGUAUCGUAAACCUCUUUUGUCAGGGAACAAAGGCGGGGACGUGUCCCCGGAUGAGUGUACCUGAAGCAAAAGCAUCGGCUAACUCCGUGCCAGCAGCCGCGGUAAUCCGGAGGAUGCGAGCGUUAUCCGGUUUUAUUGGGUUUAAAGGGUGCGCAGUCGGUCUUUUAAGUCAGCGGUAAAAGCCCGGGGCUCAACCCCGGCCCGCCGUUGAAACUGGCAGUCUCGAGUUGGAGAGAAGUAUGCGGAAUGCGCGGUGUAGCGGUGAAAUGCAUAGAUAUCGCGCAGAACUCCGAUUGCGAAGGCAGCAUGCCGGCUCCACACUGACGCUGAGGCACGAAAGCGUGGGUAUCGAACAGGAUUAGAUACCCGUGUAGUC
rnacentral:rRNA from 1 species